CAUGUCUGACACUUCGCACAUUCCAUAUUAAUACGUGCUACCUAAUAACUACUAAGAUUGGAUGACCUACAAUCUCGAUCAUAGCAUGCAGCCAUAUUUCAUAUUGCAUAUUACAUAGUGCAUAGUGCAUAGUGCAUAGUAAAUAGUGCAUAGUGCAUAUUACAUCAAUGUAAUUUCUACAUUCAAUUAAAUGACAACUUGUUUUUCCCCUAUUCAAAUCACACUUCUAUACAAACAAAUAUUCAACAAUUUUGAUAGUCAUAACAUCUCAAUCGUCAAAGGUUGCCAUCAUACGAAUUCCGUCUAACAAAGACCAUUUCGCUGCAUUCAAAUCUUUGUCUACUCCAUAUCCCAAAUUGCAUAGUGCACGCAUUACCCAAAUUCGUCUUUUACCAAAAAAAAACAAUUAUGGAAAACUAGGAUUACACAAAAGAGUAUAGAAUUACACACAAAAAAAUAGAGAAGAAAUGUUAAACCCUAAAACCUCAAUUAAGGAAAAAAUUAACACAUUUCCAUUAGUGGAAAAGUUUGAAAAAAACAAAAGAAACGCUUAGCGGAGACACCACAUUAAAAUAAGACAAAUUGCAAAAAAAAAAAUUUAAAAGAAGACAAACAUUUCACCUAUCAGAACACUUGCACUGAAUUGAUUUUACUAUAAUAAUUGCUCUAGUAAAUAACUGAAAAACUGAGAGAUAGGAAAUCUUUAUAAAUAUCUAUCUCUCAGAGGUUUAUAAACAUGUAUUCAUCAAUUGGUAAAGGUGUUAGUCGAGACUAAACACCAAAAUAGAUCAUUUGUGAUCUUAUUGAAUCUCGACAGUUAUUAGGAAUUAUCGGUUGUAAUCCAUAUCGUGGAAGAUGAGCGGUGGCAUUGCAUUGGGGAGAUAAAAAAACUCAACUCCUUGUUUAUGGUGAUUCAAGUUAAAAAUUUUCGAAAUAUCUGUUCUUCUAUCUCUCAAAUGCACUGUCUGUCAAAGACAAGCACCAGUAAUUAGGGAAUUACAUCCCUAAGUCAACCUCUAUAAAUAAAUUAGUAUUGUCUUCUAACAAGAAACUGAUACACUUCGAACAAACCAAGAUGACACCACUUUCUAAAGAAAGGAAUAGAACCCACAUAUUUAAAUAUGUAACCCUCCCUCUAUGUACCCAACCGUCCCCAUAUAAUUACAAGAUCGAUAUCAUAAAACAACUAUGAUAAAAAAAUGAACAAAAAAAUCAGACUAGGGAUUUGGGGGAAAUCUGAAGAUCUGAAGACUGAGCAUUGAUACGAAGCAGCAGAAGAGCUGCAAUUAUUCAAGGUAAAGGUUUAACUGCUUCGCGUAAUGCAUGUUCUUUAUCACACCCCAUUUUGUGUUUCUAUUUUUUCUCUGCUAACCUGACACUUUUUACGAUGGGACAAAGAAAGCUGAAGAAAAAUAUAGGUAUUGGCACCUUCCUUGGAUUCCUGCUCAACAAGAAGAGAUGCCAUCUGAAGAAGAGCUUGCACGAUAGGCUGCUCUAAGGGAAAAACAGGGUCAAAGGAUCCGUGAAAUGACUGUUGCGAAGAAGAUUUCAAAAAUUGCUGAGCUCGAAAAGGAACUCAAUGGUUUAGAUUUUCUUCUGAGACAGACUGAAAAUGUGGAAGAGGGUGAUAUUCCAUCUUUUUUAUCUGAUACAAAAUAUCAUUCAAAUCAAAACGUUGCAUCUGCAGUUGGAAAAGUGUCACAAAUUUUGCGGAAAGCUAAAGGAUAGCCUGCUGAAGUUGAGGACAGUUACGAACCAUCAUUGGAAGAGAAAUAUCCUCUAAUCGAUAUCCCAGAUAACAUGCUAACACCAUUUUGGGGGAAAUCUAUCGAAAAAACUAGCGUCCCUAAAACCAUCGGUUUAUGGGGAAAGAGGUCGUUGAAAGGAGUGAAGAAGGAAUCAAAAAAAAAAAAGUGUGAAGAAAUCCAUAGACUGAAACCAGACGAGAUAGGAGUUUAGGAAACAAACCUCAGAUUGGACAAAGGAGACCUGGAAGGCGCCUUCCCGUUGCGAUCACCGUUAGUAUUCGACAUUCUGCUGUAGAAGACGACGCUGAUGCACCGAUCGGAAGCAGGAGUUGCUGUACAAAAACGCGGCGCUACCUCAAGAAAAAACGGAAGAGAUUAGUAAGUUCUAGGGUUGGAGAUUGGAAAACUUUAAAGAUUAUCAAUGUACACACCACCCUUCCGUCCGCCGGUCACUACAAUGAUGGGUGUACUACCACUGUCCGUUUGUCAUAAACUGCACGAAAAAACUGCAAUUUCACACCAACGGCUAUAAUUCAUACACAUUUAAUGAGUGGCUAAGAUUUGAUAUCGCAC
rnacentral:lncRNA from 1 species